UGUUUAUAGCAUACGCUUAUUACAUCUUCUGCUCAGAAACUCGGUUAAAAACGAGAUAAAUUGAGGUAAGCUUUGUGGGAGUUAAACGAAACAGAUAGAACAUACAUAAAUAUAAGUAUUAUUAAUUAAAGAAAGAAAAAAGUACGAGAAGAUCAGUUACAAGCACAGAUCUUAUAAUUAUCAUUAAUAGGCAUUAUUCCGUGCAGCAUGUGCCACAUGUAUCGUAUGCAUUUGUGACGAUAAUCGGCACAAUAAAUUUAUCCAAACUUAUCUGUAAUAGUAAAAGAAAAAUAUUUUGUACGACCGAGCUACAUGACAACGAGAGCUUUCCUGAAAAGUAACAGAUAUAUGAUGUAAUUCUGAGGACUUUGUAACUUCCAAGAGACAAAGGAGAUAAAACAAGAAAAGAAGAAUACAUAGAAUUACAUAUAAAAAUACUUUCUGUUCAUAUACUAUUUAUGAAUUCUUUUGCAUAUAAAUGUACUUACUAAUUAUAAUACAAUAACGCAAGAGAAGAAAAGUGAUCCCACUGAAAAGCAAGAGGAGCUAUUACAAGAUAAAAAAUUGACAAAAUUUAUUAAGAUACAUUAAAAUGGAUAACACAGAUUCAUUUAUUGAAAAGGAUUUCUCAAUCUCGGAUGUAAUGGUCGAUGCACAGACGUACAAUUUACCUCAUCCAGAAUCCAUGUUUAAGGAAUCGCCAUGGCAAUUGGACAAUCUGCAAAGGCUGAAAAACAAUCUUAAUGAAGUGAAAAGUCGCUUAAACAACUACAGUCUACUGGAAUGGAAUCAGCACACAAGUCAAAUGAAUGAGGCGAGUGAUAUCGUCAACUUUGUAAAAAAAAAUAUAAAGGCAGAACUCGUGACUCAAGCCUGGUGUAAAUUUUACGAAAUUAUUUCUAAAAAUUAUGUCUUUCGUGGUUUGGUCUACAAAACGAGCACUGUUCCUAUGUUUAACGUAAAAAAUGACUCUUUGAUAUCUUUCCUUGAUUUAAUGCGAAAUAAUACGAAUUUCGAAGUAGAAUUCAACAUACCUAUGAAAAGUUUCACUUCCGUGCAUCUGUGUGAAGCACCAGGUGCCUUUGUGGCUGCUCUAAACCAUUGGUUCAAAACAAACAAACCCAGUGUGCAAUGGGAUUGGCUGGCUACCACCUUGAAUCCUUAUUACGAGGGAAAUUCGUAUGACACAAUGAUCGCGGACGAUAGAUUAAUUAGGCAUACUUUGAAACAGUGGUGUUUUGGCGCGAACAACACGGGCGAUAUUAUGGACCUGGAAAAUCUGGAUGCUCUAGUGGAAAGAUCCAAAUCCUUCUCAGAGAAAUCAAUCAGGCUGAUCACUGCAGACGGCAGUAUAGAUUGUACAAAUGUGCCGGCAGAACAGGAGAGCACUGUGGCGCAGUUGCACUUCUGCGAGACGGUGGCUUGCUUGCAUCUCUUGAACCAAGGCGGCACCUUUAUAUUGAAAGUCUUCACCUUGUUCGAGCAUCAAUCCGUAUGUUUAAUGUAUCUACUGGCUUGCGUCUUCGAUCAAGUUAUCGUAACGAAACCAAUGUCUAGCAAAGCAGGAAAUUCGGAGAGAUAUGUUGUCUGCAAGAGUUUUAAGGAUAGAAGUUACAUCGCUCCGUACUUAAAUAUUCUCAGGCAACACUACGGCAAAGUAUCGCCUGCGAAAGCAAUGUUCAAUUUGCGGGAUAUUCCACGCAGAUUUUUACAGAAAAUUGAGGAUUGCAAUAAAUUCUUCAAUCGCCAUCAGUGCCAAGUCAUAAACUACAAUAUAAAAACGUAUGAAAAAAAACUACCCAUGUACGACCAUCUACAGCAGGAAUGUAAACGUAAAGAACUCUCUGCGUAUUAUAUCAACCGUUAUAAAUUGAAAAAAAUAAAAUCUAGAGAUCAGAUAGUUGGCCGGAAGAUAAUGGAGAUUAAUAAUUGCUUUAGAAAUGAAUUGCAUUCGAUUCAUCUCAAAAAGGUUGAUUCUUACAACGAGCGUUUGACGUGUGACGUUAAACCACAAACACUUUUAUAUCGUUAUUUCAAAGACGCGAAAGAGAUCAAGUUACCAAUAACAGAUUCUUACAACUGGAAUCUGCAAAUAUUGCCAGAAAGUUUAGAGAUACAGAUAGGAAAACCAUUUAACAAAGUACGCAGCUCGUACUUUUGCAAUGUGAAAAUUUUGCAAAUGUUAAACGGAAUUGAUGACAUAAUGCAGCAUAUGCAUCUUGCCGCCUGCUUUUCACCUGCAGAAAUUACGACAGAGGUUGCGCGACAAAUGAGUGUCAGACACGAGAUCCUGAAUUUGGAAUUCAAUUGCGAUAGUCAUCGAAUGAUUGUCGAAAUUUGCGAUCGAUUGGAGAAGCUCGAAAUCGGACAGACGCUCAUUCUUAUUGGCUACUCUUUAUUAACGCAGUUUAACAUCGCUCUUUUAUGUCUUCUGGAAAAUACCUUUAAUGUGACUACUAUAGAGAUUCAACAUUACAGAGGCUAUUACAUCGAAUUGAAAGCAUAUCAGCACAAUGAAAAAGUAUUGAAUCAUUUGUAUGAGAUUCUCACCGCGUCACAUCAAGCACGCGAAAAGAAUAUGGCAAUCUGGUCGAUAAUGCCUAUAACAAAUUUAUAUGAAUGUGACCAGGUUCCCAUGAUAAUGCAACUUAAUCAUCUGAUGAUCAAACUGUACACAGGCCACGUUUCUUACAAAUUUUUGACACAAAAUAAAGAAGACAGCGACGAACAUAAAAGCAUAGAUAAUGAGGGCGUUGUGUAUAAGCACGAUGUUUAGCUUUAAUAUACUAAUAACAUAUACAAUGGGAUGUCAUAAAUGGGAAACAUUACGGAAGAAGGACACAAAAGAGAAAUGAUCAAGGUACUUGUGGGUUGCGUUUGUUUUUUGUGAUCACGAACAACUGGGAUAACUUUUACUUGGAUGAAAUUUAGAAUCAAUGUUUAAUGCAUGGAACGGUGACUAAGAUUUUAUUCCACACAAAGAAGUUUUUUUAUUCACACGAAUUAGAAAACGGCGUUGUGAGAGGCCUCGGCGAACUCUUUUUAAAGCGACUAUUACGACUGUGUUAAACUCAGUGCCACGUUUUAGAUCAUUGCCGUACAUGG
rnacentral:misc_RNA from 1 species